rnacentral:lncRNA from 1 species
UGCUAGUGUUGUGGUUUCGACUAGGAGUAGAUGAGGUAGGUUGCCUGCUAAUCACUUGUUUAUUGGCACCUCUGUUUUGACGAUAUUCCACACUGAUUUUUUCUUCAUGUAGGCGUGCAAAUGAAAUCGCAGCCAUCAUAGUGCGGGGUUGACGAGCCUUAACCUCGCACCGGAUCUCGGGAAUAAGCCCUUCAAUAAAUGUACCCAGAAGUUGUCGUUUUGACCAAUCUCUAGCUUGGUUGGAUAAUCUUUCAAAUCUACUCUGAUACUCCAAUACUGUAGAAGUCUGA